rnacentral:rRNA from 1 species
UACGGGGGGGCAAGCGUUGUUCGGAAUUACUGGGCGCAAAGGGCUCGUAGGCGGCCAACUAAGUCAGACGUGAAAUCCCUCGGCUUAACCGGGGAACUGCGUCUGAUACUGGAUGGCUUGAGAUUGGGAGAGGGAUGCGGAAUUCCAGGUGUAGCGGUGAAAUGCGUAGAUAUCUGGAGGAACACCGGUGGCGAAGGCGGCAUCCUGGACCAACACUGACGCUGAGGAGCGAAAGCCAGGGGAGCAAACGGG